AUUUUUGGAGAAUAUGAAAUCACAUCUCAUGAUAUGGAAUCAUGAGAUGGAAUCUGCGUAAAAUCGCAUGUCCAAACGCUGAUUCCAUCUCACGAUACGCCUACUUAGUAUGGAAAUGGUGAAAUGCUUGUUAUGUUGUCGCCUGAUUGAGGAAUUGCAAUAUUUUUUGAUGGACCAUGUUGGAAUUUUUUUUGUGGGAUUUUAGUUUUCUCUGAUGUAGUGAUUUAGGAAUUAGGUUUUUUUUAUUGGUUUAUUGAGGAGGUAGAAAUGGUUGAUGAUGUAAAAAUGUAUAUCUUUUCUUGACAUGGUUUUUACUUUCUUUGCUAUUGACAAUGUUUUGCUGAUAAUCUGUUUUGAAAUUUUACCCUUUUAGAUAGAGGUUAAUUUAGUGUUGGAGUAGUGAAAUGGAUUAUGUUUUGUUGAUUGAUAGAGAAAUUUGAAGCAUCUUAUGGUGCAAAGUGGGGUUUUUGUAGUGGAAACUUACUUUUCUUUGCUAUAAAGAUUUUGGAAUUAGGAUUUUCGUUGAUUGGCCAAGGAGGCAGAAAUGGUUGGUGAAAAUAAAGGAAAGAGCGAUGGUGCUAAUGUUGCACCGGGUUUGUUGGCUGAAAAUGGUCGAACUGUAAAGAAAUUGAAGGGCCACCUAGUUGAAGACAAGGAUGGUGAUACAAACCUUGAUGGUUCAUCAGAUGUUGUUAGUCGGACCUACAAGAGGCGGAAGCGUACGGAAGUGGUAGAAGAUGGCCUUGUGGUGGGGCACUCUGCUGGUCAAAGUACUAACAGGUCUGAUAAUCCUUACAUGAACUCUUGAAAUGUCUUUUUUCAUCUUCUGUUUGUUACCUUUUCUUAUGCAUAAUGUCUUAGUCUCUUCUGUAUCCUUCAUGGAAUAACCAGGUUUGAAUCUGAUGAUGUAAUUUGAUUGUUAUGCCCCAGCUAGUACUGUAUAAUAUGUUUAUCUUGUUUCGUUAUCAAUAAAAAAUUCCUACUCUUGUUCUCUCUCUUUGCAAUCAUCUCUAUAUGAGGUAGUAGUUCUUUUUUCUUGGCUCUUCUCUAAACUUAGGUUGUCUACCGAGAUACGUGGAAGGCAAAUACUAAUUUAGAAAACCUAUCUUUUUUCUCUUCUCAAUAAAGAAUUCGCUCUACUCUAUAUGAGGGGUGCCUAUGUGAAGCUUCUUGAGAAGGGAAAUGGAGGUGGUGGCUCUUGCGUAACCCCCUUAACCAAAAAAAAGUUUUUAAAAUAUAUAAUAAGGUAGAGAUAAAGCAUUGUUAUCCAGUGGCGGAUGACUUAUUUUGCAAACAUAAUAAUAAUAAUAUUUUGAAACUACAUUGAUGUAUAUUUUUCCUUGUUGCUCUAUGCUAAUAGUUCAGUAUCAUGGUUAUGGUUGGCGUCUUGACAUAAAGUACCCCUCUCUUCCUUGCCUGUUGGUAAACACCCCAACCCCAAUUUUGUUUUCUAUCUCUCUGAGAUCAAUGACAUAUAACAAUGAUGAAUGGAUUUACCAGAUAACAGAAGUAUAGACCAUUUGUACCAAGAUAUUAGAGAUGUUGUUCAGAGUUCAGAAACAUAAUUCAGAAAAUACAAUUUUAUUCAUCAUUUAUAUUUUGAAAAUAGACAGAAUAGAAUGUGGUUUUAUCUUUCAAGGUUGAUUCUUCUGCCAUCAAAUGUUCAAGUAAUUUUUCUUCUCUGCUUCUGGUCCCCGAACCAAUAUCAAUUAGCACCAAAAUUCUACCAAGUUCCCAGAUGGAGAUCCAUUAUGACGGCCAUCAUAUGAUUAACUCUCAAGUGAAAAAUUAAGCUCUAGUUCUGCUAUCUGUAAUGUGCUGCGAGGAAGAAAACCGUAAUUGUCUCUGUUCUCUUUACACAAGAAACACCUCCUUACAAUUUGUCUCCAUAAAUUACUUAAUACUUAAAGAAUUUCAAGCUACUACAGCACAAGUGAAGUCACCUUCCGUGACUUUUUAUGAUUUCCAAUGGGAGAAAGGAUUCUACUCAAUCACGUAAAAGCCAGUUUUACAUAAGAUCUAACAAUUUGUGAUUCUGUGCCCCUGCAUCUUCUUACAUCUUUUCUCCCCAACUCUUUUUUUUUUUGACAAAAUUAAUCUUGAACUCAUUUUCAUAUCAAAUAAUUUGGACGCUGCCCAGGAAGACCCUUAGUUGCUUUGAUUAAAAUAACCAGGGGAGGAUGCAACAUUACGUUAAUGGGUUCAUCUGAAUCCAAUACUUUCAAAGUGGAACCCAAAUUUAUGGGUAAAAAUUCGCUGAAAUUGCAACAAAUAGUAGAUUUGAACUCAUAAGUUACAUAUAUAAUGAGUUCAAUACUAAGAACCUUAAAAGUUGAACCCAUAAAGUGUAAUUCUUAGAUUCGCCUCUGAUUAAAAAACUUGUCUUCUUUUCACUUCAUUUAGAUGAUGCCACCUUUGACUCUUGGGAUUUGUGAUUUUUUUUUGAUAAGGUAAGGCUUAAUAAAUAUGUACCAAGAUGGUACUAAAAAGAUACAAAUGACCUUCAAGGGAUGGUCAAUUGGCCAUGCAGCAGUUACAUCCUGCUUCCUAGAAAGUCAAGGAAGUCCAUAUAUUAACUAGGAUCAUCCGGCAUACAACUUUUACUUAAGAAUACAAGUUAUGGAGGCAUUUCUCCUUGAUUCUAGAGACGUGUAUUUUCUGGCCCUCAAAAUAUGCCCUGAUCAUUCUUUUUUGCACGUCUCAUGUGCGUCUUUGGCAUGUUAUUCUUGUGAUUCUUUAGUUUUGCUUCCUUUGUGUUUUCAUUUUUGUCCUUCUAUAUUAAGGUUUAAUUUCUGUUCAUGUUUUCUGCAAUUUCGGCACGUAAAAGAUGUUAUUUAUAAAUAUUAUAUGAUAAAAUUUCAAAAUGUAGUUUGAGUUAUGCUGUCUGUCUAAUAGAAAUUUUUAUGCUACCGACUUUUAUUUCAAAGAAAUGUUGUAAAUUUUUCUAGAAAUUUCUAUUAGACAGACAUUUCUUCUUUCAAAUAAAAGUAUGUACCAUAAAAAUUUCUAUUAUACAGACAGCAUAACUCACACUACAUUUUGAAAUUUUAUCAUAUAAUAUUCAUAAAGAACAUAAUGUGCAGAAUUUAGGAAAGAUGAAAGAAUAUCCGACACAAGAAAAAAUUUGAUAUGUACAGCAACAAUGAUUUUGAUAGAGAAAUCAAUAUAUUGUGAUUAAGUGGAUUUAUGAAGUAAAAACCAUGUUAAUCAAGGUGGAAAAACAUAUCAAAUUUUGGUUCAGAUGCAAAUAUACAAUUUCAAGCUUUCUUACUCCCAAGUUUCUAAUUUCCUAUUAUGAAGUAUUCACCUAGUUUAUUUUCUUUAACGAUUAUGUUAUAUAUUUACUGUUUAGUACUCCUUCCUUAUAAGGAGAGCUCAUGAGCCUAGUGACUUAUCCCGAUUCUUUUUUUUUUGAAACUGGUAACAUUACUCUAUAUCCACAGGUAUACUACAACCAAAAGUGUAGUUCCCCUUCAGAAGUAUUACAAUCUAUUAAAAGCUCAAGGCUAAUACUUGUUUUUUUUGAGACAAGGGUAACUAGCUCAAGGCUAAUACUUGCUGCCUAUAAACAAUCUAGAACAUCAAAGAUGUCUUCAGUUUGAGCUAAUAAACUAUGUUUACACCAAAAGUAAAAUAGAGCUGAACACUUCAUUUUGACAUCCUGUAUUGUGUUACCUAUAAACAAUCUAGAACAUCAAAGAUGUCUUCAGUUUGAGCUAAUAAACUAUGUUUACACCAAAAGUAAAAUAGAGCUGAACACUUCAUUUUGACAUCCUGUAGAUUAUUUUGCACAUUUUCGAAGGUCCUGUUGUUUCUCUCUUUCCAGAUUGACCACCAAAUGCAAAGUUUUCAAAAGUCUUUCACAAACGUUUUAACUUUGUUUAAAGACUUAAGUUUCAAGUUAAGCAAAGUGUAAAGAGUUGAGUUCAUUUCUUCAAAAGAAGUAUAUCGGGACUAUGUAUUCCCAAAGAGUAAAAUGCUUUCACAUUUAAACAAGAAAGGAAACCUUGAUUUCCAAAGAGCCUUUGAGCUAGUUUUUAGAAAAGAGUAAUCGCUUUCUAAAUGAAGCAAGAGCGGAAACUAUGAUUUCCAAGAUAGCCUUUGAGCUAAGUUUUUGAGCAAUUAUCUCAAAUCAUAGAAAGAAGUAUGUUUUUAAACAUAAGAGCUAAUAUCACAUUUUUGGGAGUAGUAUUGAGCACCGAUAUGGGGGAGAGUUCAGACAACUCACAGCCUCCAUAAACCAUGUAGCCAUCAUGGGUAGAAAAAGGUCAUACUUUUUAGAUGAUUCCUUUAGUGCUUUUAGCAUAGACUAGUGGAUCCACUUAGUAGUUCAGGUUCUAUACCCUCGGCAAGGUAUAGGACGGCCCUGGCANNNNNNNNNNNNNNNNNNNNNNNNNNNNNNNNNNNNNNNNNNNNNNNNNNNNNNNNNNNNNNNNNNNNNNNNNNNNNNNNNNNNNNNNNNNNNNNNNNNNNNNNNNNNNNNNNNNNNNNNNNNNNNNNNNNNNNNNNNNNNNNNNNNNNNNNNNNUAUCUUUGCAUACACACAGAGUUGACAUCAUAUUUUUAAACAACUUUUCUUUAUAUUGCACUUGUUUUAAACUGCUUUAUAUUGAAAUGAGUUCAGUUAUGUUGAGUUGAGUUGAGCCAGGUAAGUUCUUCAGAUUCCUUUCAAGCCUAUGUUGUGUUUAGCAUUCCAACUCGCAUUCUCGUACAUUCAAUGUACUAAUGCCAGUUGUCCUGCAUCUUAUUAUGAUGCAGACACAGGUAACUAGGAUCGGCAUCCAGCGCAUCGUUGAUCUAGUGAGCACUCCAGAGUCGGUUGGUGAGCCUUCUUGCAUUCCGGAGGACUCUUUUUUAUUGCUUUCAGUUAUUUUAUUAGUUCAUUAGGAUGUCGUGGGGUUUGUCCUGACAUCCAUCUCAGUUGUUUUAGAGGCUUCAUAGACAGUCAUAUGUUAGUUCUUUAGUCUUUUCAUUGUCAUUAUCUUAUGUUAAGACUUGAGUUUGCGUUAAUGGCCAAGUUGAAUGUUCCAUUAUAACAUUCCAGUUUAUUACAUAGACUUGUCUUUGUUGAAUUAAGUCUUCCGCUGAGUAAGUAGUCUAGGCCUAAGGGUUCGCUUGGGGCGAGCAAUGGUUCUCGAGUGUCAGUCCCUCCCAAAGUGUAGGCUCGGGGCGUGACAAUAUGUGCCUCUCCUCUUCAUGUGCUCGCAUCAUUUGAGCUUCGCUUUCCUCAUCUUGUCCACCACGGGGCCCACUCCACCUUGUCUCGAACAUCUUCAUUUCUAAUCCUAUCAACAUCCUCAUUUCCACAACUUCCAUCUCCUGAACAUGGGAGUUUUUGAUAGGCCAACACUCUGUCCCAUAUAACAUAGUUGAUCUAACCACCACUUUGUAGAACUUAUCUUUAAGUUUUAGUGGCACUUAUCACAGAGGACUCUAGAAGUGAGCCUCCAAUUCAUCCACCCUGCAUUCUAAGCUUCUUUACAAACACCAUCAUGAACAGAAUCAAUCAGCUCAACACCCUUGAUAUAAUGACCCUGUGUUGCCAACACCCGACUGACAAAAAAUAAAGUUAUUACUUAUUAGGCCUAAAAAUUUGAGCGUAAGGCUCAUAUCUAACACUGUUCAAAGUAUCAAGCUCUAAAUCCAUAAGAAGAGUUUCAGUUGCAAGUCUAAAUGAACUAAUCUAUGUUAUCAGAUGUAGUUUGCAAAGAAGUUCCUCGCUAGAAAAUGAUUGAUUGGUUUGUUUUGAAAAAGAAAAAAACUGAUAUAGUAGAAGAAGGAUAAGAUAAUUAAACGGUUUAAAUCCCUUUUGAGUGGCCUAGUGAUUUGGGCUUAGGACUUCUACGUUGGAGGUCUCAAGUUCGUCGCACCGGGCUUGCCUAGGGCAGGUUACCUCUCCGAUGUGGUUUGCGAGCUAUUGCAUAGGAGUGGAGGUUUUACCCUGUGCGCACCCAAAAGGGUAGCGGUUGCGGGUUUCCCUUGUCAUCAAAAAAGAUAAUUAAACGGUUUAAAUAUGGCAAUAGUUAUGUACGGUUUCCAGUUUUUAAAACUUGAAAUGGUAGUUUUUUCUUGUGAAUUUUCUGUUUUAAAAUAAUUUGUCUAUUGAAAAUUCCCGUGCUUACACGUGACAGCUAGCACUUUUUAAAAAUACAGAUUUGAUUUUAUUUUUUUUGGUGGUGCUAACACGUGAAACUUUUUACCUCUCCUAUUAUAUAUAUAUAGAUAGAUUAUUAAACAUAAAUAUAAAUCAACAAAUUGUACAAUUAAUGGAGCUACAUAUGUCAAUUAAGAUUUUAGAUGUUAGUGAAUGAAAUUUUUGGUGCGACUUAUAUAGGACUAUGCUUAAUUUUAGGUAAUACUGUUUAAUGGAUUUAUAGUUUCUGUGUACUGAUAUAUCUUGAGCUAUGACGUUUGCAAGUCUUUACGGAUUUGGUAAGACACUACAAAAAAUGCUAUGCUACUUCCUUUUUUAUCUUUGUUACUGAAUGUACAUAGACACAUUAUCCUAUUGUAUACAUAGCACAAUCAUAGAUAAAAGUUAUUUAAGGAUUUUCUGAUUUUGUUUCCUAGAUUAUUUUGUUUCCUAGAUUUACAGAUUUACUUCUGAUUUUGUUUCCUAGAUUUACUUCUGAUUUUGUUUCCUAGAUUUACUUCUGAUUUUGUUUCCUUAAAUAGACUUGCUUGUACACAUAUAAAUAACUCUCAUUCUUGGAAUGAUGUGUAGGAAGAUUUUUCCAUUGUCUCUAUAUUUUACAUGGUAUCAAAGCCACGAGGGCUCAAAAUCAUUGAUUAGAAAUUCCACACCUUCCUGAUAGCCUGAGAGGAGGAGUUCUCGGCUAUUUGAUUUGUCUUUCACUCGCCAGUCCAUUGGUCUGGCAGAACUGAUUUUGGCUUACUGCUCUGGCAUCGUCUUGGCAUUCGUAAUCUUCUGGCACUAAAACUCUGCUUGGAAGGUGUGUUCUUCACUUCCUGUUUUUGACUUUAGCUCUUUAAAAAAUCUUCUUUGAUCUCUUUUCCAACCACCAUUAAUUUUGAGCAUUGGGUUUUGGUAUUUGUUGGGUUUGGGUAUCUGUGGAUCUCAGAUUCAAAUUCUAUUUGAACCUUUCUGGUGGUACAGUCUAGAUUCAAGAAUUCUGUUUUCAUACUGUUUGUUUCUAGGACUUGUGUGAAGUUUUAAGUUUUUUUUAGGCCUGUUCAAGUCUAUUUUCAGUCUGGGUUUAGGUCUCACCAUUGUCCAAAUAUCUUCUUGGCCUGUGAGGGGCAUCUUUGUUGGCAGAUAACUUAUUCAUAGAUCUUGUUAAUUUGGUUCCAGCCCUUGUUACCUGUAGUCAUCUAUAAUCUAUUUUUCAAUCCUUUUGGACUAAACAUUAGUUAAAAUAUGUCUGGUUCUAGUUCAUCAUUUGAGAAAAUUAUUCGGGUUUCAGGCGAUGAGUUUGCUAAAUUCUUUCAAUAUCAUAAAUCAGAGAAGGAAUCUGCUUCAAUUAACUUCUUUGUGAGUCAAAUAAAGCAUGUCUUAUCACCUCUUCAAAUAAAUGGGUAAUUGAUUCAGGUACCACAAAUCACAUGGCGGGUAAUCCUAACAUUUUUUCUAGCUUUCAAUCACACAAAGCUCCCUCUCCGGUUACUGUAGGUGAUGGAUCAACUUGUAAUAGUCUUGGAGCAGGGACUGUUAAACCAACCUCAUAUAUUACCCCGUUAUCUAUUAGGUCUACCAAAAUUGGCCUUACAAGAAACCUUAAGUGUUAUAUCUCUUUCUUUCCCGGUCAUUGUCUGUUUCGUGAUCUUACGACGAAUCAGGUUAUUGAUAAAGGACAUGUAUCCGAUGAUCUCUACAUCCUUGAUGAAUGUGAAUCUCGAUCUAUUGCCUGCUCUAGUGUUGUGUCUCCAUUUGAAGCACAUUGUCGAUUGAGUCAUCCUUCUUUACCUAUGUUGAAGAACCUUUGUCCUCUGUUUCAAAAUAUUUCUUCAUUGGAUUGUAAGUCAUGUCAAUUUGCAAAACACCAUCGCAUCUCAUUAGGUUAAAGGGUUAAUAAACCAAUUAAGUCAGCUUUUGAGUUAGUUCAUGGGGACCAUGUUCCGUUGUUUACAAAACCGGGCAUAAUCAUAAAUAGAAUAUAUUUAGGGAUUUUCUGAUUUUGUUUCCGUAGAUAGAUUUGCUUCUGAUUUUGUUUCCUUAGAUAAAUUUGCUUUUGAUUCCAUUUUCUUAGACUUGCUUGUACACAUGUAAAUAACUCUCAUUCUUUGAAUGAUACGUGUAGGAAGAUUGUUCCAUUGUCUAUGAUUCUACCUUUAUCUGAAGCAGCACAUUGAUGAUGAAGCAUUUUUUAAUAGUUGUAAUAUAAGUACACAAUAGAUGGUUUGAACGACUAACGUGGGACUUGAAUUUGCAUGGAUUGUCCUAUUUUUGUGUGCCGGAGAUAGUUCUAAUUCAUGUAUCUUCAUCCUGAAUUAUUUGCAGAUGUGGACAAAGCUUAAUGAAGUUGGUAGCAAAAUGAUUUCUCUUUCAAGGAGUCUUUCAGAAAUAUCAAGGGGUUGUUUCCGAGCUCAGGUAUGUGGUUUCUUGCUAACACUUGGUUCAUUGAGCGGCUUCCGUCUUUUGCACACAAUGCUGGUAAAAUUGACUAUGAUUUUAACCUGUUACCUCUUUAGGUGAGUGGUUCAGUGCAUGUAAACGCUAAAGAUGCAAAAGUGGAGGCAAGUCUUCUUUUCCGUCAUGCUUUUGUGUUUCUGUUUUAGUGGUAGACUAUUGGUCAUUUUGGUUGUUCUCUAGUUAGCUUCUUGGAGGAGAAACAGCUUUUGAAAAUUGUCGGCCCGGAAAUUUCAAAUCCUUCACUGGCAACUGGCAAGUGCAUGUCACCAACCAAGUACUUGCAGUUAUUCCAGAUUUCUUGGGGAACCACUCAGGCAAAUAAUGUUACCAAGCUCCUAGAAGGUUCAAAUCCCAGCAGCACCAAAAUUACAUUAGGUGAUUUCUUUUCAUGCGUUUAAGCGUUGGUGCUGAGUGUACCUGUGCUAGUUUAAGGUAGUACCUAAUGGAAUAGUCGAGGUGUGUGCAAUUGACUUGAACACCACCAUUUUAAAGAAAAAGCUGGUCGUGUACUUAUUUUGCUUUUGGUUUCAAACCUUGAGGUCCACAUCAUUGGAAUUAUCUCUUAGUUUUAAUAUGAAAGUAUAAAGUAAAAAAAUUCUUGCUUUUGGCUCUACUCAGUGCUGCAACUUGAUAUCUACUCUAUGAAACCCACAAAGUAAAAAAUCUGAGGGAUUGCCUUGGCAUUGUAUUUUAUUUCUUUCUACAACUUGAAACUGCAGAUAUAUUUUUAAGUAUUAGAAUUCAAGUUUACUAUGUUUUCUUUUCUUUUUGAUGUUGACAGUUAGUUUCUAAAAUGGAACAAGCAGAGACCUAUGGUGUAGAUAAAAGAUGUGCUUGCCAAUGUUGUGGGGAGAAAGAGAAAGCGGAUGGUGGGGAUAGUUUAGCUUGUGAUUCAUGCGAGGAGAUUUAUCAUCUCUCUUGUGUUGAGCCUACUGUUAAAGAAUUUCCUGUAAGAAGUUGGCAUUGUGCCAAAGGAAUGGAAUCCCCCUCUAGCUCAGUGAUAAUUGAAAAUGAAGUUGAAGACCUUACAUCUGAAGAUAUGGUUCUAGAAUUGGAGGAUAACACGAAUGGUUUAGUGGAUGGUGAACUUAAACUCUGUGAAGGAGUUGAGGGCGAAUCAAUCCAAAUUAACUUUGGUGUAUAUUUGGAAUCAAAAUUUAGAGUUGAAAAACUAAGAGUGAAUAUAAAUAUCUUUGGGUCCCACAUUUUCCUAUUUUACAUGUAUAGUAAAGAACUCAUCGAUAGAUACUUAUAGUUGACACGUUUUUUUAUUUAGACAUUUUAGUUAAGAUUUAUAUUAUUUAAACACCUAAAAUGAGGCUGAAUUAUAUCAUUUCGACACGUUUUCCUGACUUGGUAAUUUUUUUUGUAAUUUUCGCCUCAAAUUAGCACAUAAAAAAACUAAGUGAAAAGUCGAACCAUCUUUAAGUGGCUAUUGAUAAAUUUUGUCUAUACAAUGUAAUAUACAUGUGUGGAGGACCGUUUUUCAACUCUAAAUUUUGAUUCCAAACUACCUUAAUUUUUCUACGUAACUUUGUGCAAGAGUUUCUAACCAAAUCUAAAUUACUUUAUCAUUAAUUUUUGGACUUCUUGGCACUUUUUGAAUACAUUUUCAAUAUUGUAGUUUAUGAAAAGUUCUUCUUUGACUAAAGAACUACUGCUUCAAAUACAUUUUUUUUAUUGCGGGAGAUAAUGAUUCGUAUAAUUCGACAUACUCAUUAUCCUAUAAUUAGAUGAAAUCUCCUUAAAUCGUGGGUUAACUUGAACUAAUGGACAUAAUAUGUCAUGGGUAUAUGAAGUUACCUUAGCCAAAUAUGGUAAAAUAGAAUUUUGAUUUUGUUCUUUAACAAGCCUCGUAAAUAUAUUAACAUUUUGCAUGUUUUGAUUGUUUACCUUCUUCAUGAGUGACCCAAUCUUUUUAGUGGUUAAAUUGGAUUUUGAUGAAUUUUCAAUUUGAAGUUGGAAUGGUUGACACCAAAGCUACAUCUGAGGAAGAUGAGUUUGGGAUGCAAUUUUGAUAGUUUUAUUAGCUCUGCAAGGUGUUUUUUGCAAAGUAAAUUAUCUAUAUCCAAAAUUUAAUCCAUGAUAUUAGAAAGGUUCAAUUCUCAUAUACUUAUGCAAAAAGAAAGCUAACUUCACAUGUAAAAGAAAUACAUCAUAAAUUUGUAUCCUAUGACAAAAUAAUAUGAAGAAACAAUAUUAUGCACAAAUAACCUCGUGUUUGACUUCAUUUUUUUUAAAACGUUUUUAGAAGCUAACGAAUUUGAAUCUUAUCAAUAAGUGAAAGUUAUUUUUCUUUUUUGAUAAUUGUUAGUUCAAGAUAUAACUAUUUCCUAUGAAUUGUUAUAAAACAAAGGAUCAUUCUUCAUAUCAAAAGAAUUCGGCAUGAUGCUCUAUGACCCAAUUGGAUUGAAUUUUUAAACUAAAAAUAAUAAUAAUUUAUUAUACUCUAUAAGUUAAUUUUGUAGUGAUACUUUUAAAUAAUUACAAAUAUAGUUAUAUUUUACAUCUUAGCAUAUAUACCUUGAUAUUCACAUUUUUAGAUUGAAGGCACAAUUCUUAUACGCGUGUGUAUUGUGUAUAUGACAUUAAUAUACAUAUAUAGACAUUAUAAGUGCACGUAUACAAUAUAUCAAUUUAUAUACAUUGAUACCAUACAAUAUUGUAUAUGUUAUAUUUUGAAAGAAAACUUUGUUAUGUUUUGAAAAAAAACUGUUACUGAAAAAUUUUCUAUUAAAUUUCAUAGAUCGAAUUUUGGGUAUAUUAAUAUUUUGGGGUCAUGAAGCUAUAUUACUUUAAAAUAAUACAUUUUAUGUAAGCUAACUAUGAUUUUCGGUAAAGUUGAAAUAACAAAAAUGACACUGUAUAAAAUUAAGUGAAAGUUCAAUGAUUUUAUAGUUAAAUUAACGAUUUAACUACAAUUAUACAAAAUUUUAAUGAACUUUAUGAAAUUAAUACUAAAAAAUAUUCUUCACACAUUAUUUUUUCUUCGUUUAGUGAUAUAUCUAUAAUUGCCUUGUUUCCAAUUGUAAUUAUUUCGUAUAAAUUUUUCCUCACUUUUUCCCCCUUCAUUUUCCGUCUCUUAAUCUAGGGUUUAUACCUCUUCGGUCUUUUUAACUAUAUCAAUGUAUUAUUAAACAAGAAUUUUGUAACACCCCAGAAAAAACAUUUUCGAACUAAGACUCGAACCGUUCUUCGUACUGAGUGAUAUUUUACCAAGGACUUAAAAAUUUCUUUAAGUGUUAAGGUCACUAGAUGUAGCACCUUGAGUUCCAAAAAGAAUUAAAUUGGAAAUAGUAAAAUCUGAAAUUUUGCAAGUUAAGCUAAGUAUGAGUUUUGGGUCGACUUCAAACGACCAUAACUUCUAUCUCAAGAUGAGUUAGGUGUGAUACCAGAUACCGUAGGGAAGAUCUUUGAAUUAUCUUUCCAACGCCACCGAGUUUGCUCAGUUUUAAGUUCGUAUGAGGGAGAUAUGUCCAUUCGAAGUUGGGUUGUCUAGAUAAGGAAAGUCAAAAACCGGAUUUUAGAGGCGUAUUUUGGUCUUUUCCUUACCAAAUUAGAUUUAAUUCGUUUUUAGUAAUAUUUUAGGGUUCUAAUAUGAUUAGGUUCAGUUUUAUAAUCCUAGUUUACGCCUAGGGUUUUAGUUGAGAGUUCAAGAACAGAAAAGAAGAGAGAAGAGGAGAAAAGAGAAAGGAUCGAAGCGUUCGUCGAAAUUCUUGAGAGUUGUUGCNNNNNNNNNNNNNNNNNNNNNUUGAGAUGAAAGUGAUUGUUUUGAGUGGAUUAGUGUGUACUUAGGUUGGGUAAUUGAAUCUAAGGAAAAUUUGAGAAAAGAAAGAGAUUAAAAGUGAUUUAGGAUCAGAAAACGAAAGGCAAAAUUCGUCGAACUUGGCCUGGGGAGAGGCUGGGGCGGCGCGCCCCAGAUGCGCCCAAGGGGCUGGGGCGGAGCCCCUGCAGUGCGCCCAUAUGCAGUCUCUGGAGUUAGGGGCUGACGCCCCGCGCCCGAAACGCGCCAGGGUCGCCUGCCCCCACUCUUUUUCCGUCGGUUGUCCCGUUUGAGUCCCUUUUAAGUGUACCUUCACUCCCUUUGAUUCUAAUUACUUUAAAAUACUUCCAAACACCUACAAAUCAUUCAUAACAUGAUCAUAACCUUGAAUUCAUAAUUCAAAUUUAAGGUAAAGUUAAGAGUUGAGUCUUGAGAGUUCUUCUGAUCAUUUUGAGAGAGUCCAUUUGUGUCAUUCUGAGGAGUCUUCGACAAUUUCUAAUAAUUUGUUUCAAGACUCAAGUAAGUGAGAAUGAGAGUGAGGAGAAUGUAUUCAUGAGUCUACACUAUCACCUAGAUUCUUCAUAUCAUGAACCAUGACUCUUGAAUUCAUAAUUCACAUUCAAGAGAGAGUUAAGAGUAGAGUCCAAGAAAGUCUUUGAGUUCGAGUGUGAAUCCUUUGAGAUCAACUAUCAAUUCGAACUAAGUUUGAGUAAGUAAGUAUGAGAUUGAGAAGAGUCAUUUACAUGAGUUCCAUAUUGUUAUGUAGGCCUUCGAGUCGAGUUGUUCAUGCCCAUAAAUUCAGCAUGAACUUUAUAAGUUGAGUAUCUUUGAAAGGAGUAGUAUCUUCAAGUUCUAAGUCUUGAGUAUUGAGUUCCUAAUCCCCUUUGGGUUUAUCUUCCUAGUCAUGGGACUAUUACAGGUUACUUAUGAAGUCUUUGAGUUGAGUAGUUUGUGCCCAUAAAUCCGUAUGAACCCUAUAAGUCGAACAAUCUUGAGAUGAGAAGUAUCUCUGAGUCCUUGAGUUGAGUAGUUCAUGCUCAUAAUUCUGCAUGAACCCUCUGAGUUGAGUAUUCUUGAAAUGAGUAGUAUCAUUGAAGUUCUUGAGUUCUAAGUAUUGAGUUUGAUCUAUGGUUAUUGCAAAUCUUGCAUUAAGUCGUUCACGUCCAUAAUCCGGCAUGAACCAUAAUUUAAGAAGUCUUUUACAAAUAUUUUAACUUUGUUUUAAGACUUAAUCUUUGAAGUUGAGUAAAGAGUAAGAUUAAGUUCAUUUUCUUUAAAUGAUAUAUGGGAACUAAGUGUUCCCAAAUGUUUUCACAUUUAAGAUGAGAGGAAACUGAGAUUUCCAAAAGAGUUUUGAGCAAGAAAGGGAACAUCGAUUCCAAGAGANNNNNNNNNNNNNNNNNNNNNNNNNNNNNNNNNNNNNNNNNNNNNNNNNNNNNNNNNNNNNNNNNNNNNNNNNNNNNNNNNNNNNNNNNNNNNNNNNNNNNNNNNNNNNNNNNNNNNNNNNNNNNNNNNNNNNNNNNNNNNNNNNNNNNNNNNNNNNNNNNNNNNNNNNNNNNNNNNNNNNNNNNNNNNNNNNNNNNNNNNNNNNNNNNNNNNNNNNNNNNNNNNNNNNNNNNNNNNNNNNNNNNNNNNNNNNNNNNNNNNNNNNNNNNNNNNNNNNNNNNNNNNNNNNNNNNNNNNNNNNNNNNNNNNNNNNNNNNNNNNNNNNNNNNNNNNNNNNNNNNNNNNNNNNNNNNNNNNNNNNNNNNNNNNNNNNNNNNNNNNNNNNNNNNNNNNNNNNNNNNNNNNNNNNNNNNNNNNNNNNNNNNNNNNNNNNNNNNNNNNNNNNNNNNNNNNNNNNNNNNNNNNNNNNUUGAGUAAGUUGAGUAGUUUUGAGUAUCCUUGAGUAUUCCUUGAGUUGAGUAAGUUUGAAAAGAGGCAAGUAUGUUUCCAUAUUUAUCAAGUUCAAGCUUAUGUUAUGCUUUAGAAUUCCCCUUACAUGCUCGUACAUUUCACGUACUGACCCAUUUGGCCUGCAUCUUCUCAUGAUACAGACACAGGUAUUCAGGAUCAUCAAUAUGAGCUUCUUUGAUACAUCCGAGAGUUCAAGUUAGCUAUGGUGAGCCUCCUUGCUUCCGAAGGAUUUCAUUUACCUUUCAGUUAUAUCAAUUGUUAGGAUGUCGUGGGUCUUGUCCAGACUUCCAUCCUUAUUAGUUAGAGGCUUCAUAGAUAGUCAGUAUAGUUGAGAAAUAUGUAUCAUUUAUUUUAUUAAAUGUUUUAAAGACUUAAGUUGCCUAUUUUAUGGGGAGUGGAAUUAUUUAUUUUAUUCAGUGUUUUCUUUUGAGUUAAAGCUUUGUAUUUAAGUUUCCUAAUUUUUUAUUAGUUUUUAAGCUUUGUAUGCUUGAGUUAGUCUUCCGCUUGAAGUCAGCCAGGAUGAGGGUUCGCUUGGGGACCAGAAAUGGUUCUCGAGUGUCGGCCACGUCUAGGGUGUAAGCUCGGGUCGUGACAAAUUUAUAGCUUACAUUCACAUUUCACUUUCAUCAUCAUAAUUAAAUUUAAUAAUUUUGUGAAUUUUUUAUAUGUUCGUCAAGAAUGAAAUUCGCUAGAGCACAUAUCUCGCACAUCCUUGAUUCAAAUCAAGUCCACAAAAUGGAUUACAUUUAUGCUUUAUUUCUUCCUCCUGCAAAUAUCAUUGAUCUUCAGAUUAUCUCCUAUCAAUUGACAUGUAUCAAAAAUUACUUUAUGAAAUUUAGAUCUAUAAUAAUUGUCUUGUUCAAUUAAAAUAUUUUUGGGUCAUAAUUCAUGUAAAAAUAUAUUUCUUUCAAAAAUUAUGUGAAAUCACUUAGAAAAAGGGCUUAGUGCGAUUAAUCCUUUUUGGACAAUGAAUUGUAUUGCUUAAAGUCUUUUAUGGGGAUAACAUAUACCUUAAAUGUACAUGUUAUUUAAAAAGAUCUACUCGAAAGAUUUGAUAAUGUAGAUAGUUUUUUAAUAUUCAAUUUACAUAAAAAAAAAAAACAUACCUAUAUUAGCACUAUACUAUAAAUUUGAUAUAUCAUAAAAGAAGUUAAAUACAAUAAAAUUAAUAAGCAUGAUAGAAAAAAUUCAACGAAGACUUGUCACAAUCAAAUGCUUCCCUAUUGAGGGUCAAUAUGCUAUGUUUUUACCAGAAAGAAUGCAAUAAAAGUAUUUGAAUCCAGAUUAAAUGUCCUUCACAUUUCACAAGUAACUUGAGAGGAAGUAUUGAAAAUCAAAGAAUUCAAGAAGUCUUGCAAUAAGAUUUGUUUAAUUCAUACUGGAUUCAGGAGGAAAGAAAUACUUUGUUGCAACUAGAGAAGUGGUUGACACUACACGAAUAGGUUCUAAGACAAAGGUCCGAAGUCACAUGGAUUACAAACGGAAAUACUAGUACAAAGUUUUUCUUUGCCUACCUAAAAGUUAGAUAGGCUAGAAACAAGAUCUCCUCCAUUUGUAUGGAACAUGGUGAAAGACUGACUGAUGCAAACGAAUACAAUAGGAAUUUGUGAGUUUCUUUCAAGCCUUAUAUGGGACUAAUGCCAAAGAGUUGCCAUGUUUGGACUUUAAUAUAACGAAGGAUGUCCCUUGCUUGAAUAUACACCAACAACAACUUUUGGUAAAUGAGGUAAACACGGAAGAGAUCCUACUAGCAGUGAAUGAGAUUCCAAAUGAAAAAGCUUCAAGUACUGAUGGGUUCAGUGUAGAGUUUUUAAAAUAAUACUGAGAGCUGAUAGGAGACGAGAUCAUUCAAGUGGUUCUCCAAUUCUUUGAAAUAGGAAAACUGCUAAAAGAGGUUAAUUAUAUUAUUGUGACUCUGAUCCCUAAAUGUCCAACCCCAGCUUUGUCAAAGAGUACAGGUCAAUUGUUUGUUGUUACACGAUGUAUAAACUAUUAGCCAUAAUAAUCACCUCAAGAUUGAAGUUGGUUAUCGAUUACUUGGUAGGUCUAUCUCACUCUGCCUUUAGAGAUGGUAAUAAUAUACUACUAGACAAUGUGAUUGUGGCACAUGAGCUAGUCAAAGGCUACACAAAAAAGGAGUGUCUGAUCAAAGUAAACAUCAGAAAGGCCUAUGAUUCUGUAGAGUGAGCCUAGUACUGCUGGAACUUGGACUCUCGUCUAGGUUUGUGAAUCUAAUCAUGACAUGCGUGCCUACAAUAAGUUAUUCUUUAUUUAUUAAUAGAGGCCCAACCCCACGCUUUGAAGCUAAGAAAGGAUUGAGGCAAUGGGAUCUCAUGUCCCCAUACCUCUUUGUAUUGAUAGUGGAAUACCUAAACAGAACAUUCAAGUAGUUGAGACAUAAUCCCUCAUUCAAGUACCAUCCUAGAUGUGAGAAGCUGAGAGUGAUACAUAAAUGCUUCUCACAACGACCUGAUUAUGUGUUUCAGGGCUCACAUAUUAUCAAUUCAUUAAUAUUGCAAGCAUUUAAUCAUUUCUCAAAGCUUUCAGGGCUAAAGAUUAAUUUGGAUAAAAGCGCACUAUACAUUCCUGGUACUACACAUGAAUUCAAAUAAUAGAUAUUAAGAGAUAUCUCAUUCGCCGUAGGAAGAUCACAGUACAUCAAUACAUGCCACUAGUAAAUAAAAUGAUUGCGAUCGAGAAUUAGAUGUUGGACUACUAAGUUCUUAUCAUACAAUGACAGAGUUCAACUUAUCAAGAGUAUCCUAUUUGAAAUACAAACAUAUCGGAGACAAAUAUUUCUAAUGCCUAAGAAGGUCAUAGAACUGGCCACUAUUAUCCGUUGGACCUUCAUUUGGACAAACAAUACCGAAACAUCGAGAAGAAUUCAGGUUCCUUGGGAUACACUAUGUAAAGCCAAAAUUGUAGGAGGCUUGAAUAUGAUUGAUUUUCAAGCGUGGAACAAGGAAACUAUUAACAAGCUUCUAUGGGGUUGUAUCCUUAAAAAAACGCUUUUUUGGAUUCAUUGACCACAUGAUUUCUACCUAAAGAGACAAGAUUUAACCAUAAUGGAGACUCCAAAGCAGGCCUGCUAACUGGUGAGGAAGAUCUUCAAUGCUAGAACAUGGUUUAACUAGCACAUAGUGCUCACAAACCAGCAAAAACUCUCUAGAAAAGGAAAGUACAACAUUAAAGAAACUUACAAGUUCUUUCGCCAUAAUUUUCAAAAAGUGAAUUGAAAAAACCAAUGAUCCAAAGAACAAUUUCAUUCUUUGGCUAAUACUUCAAGGAAGAUUAGCUACGGUGGACAUAUUAGACAUACUAGAGAGAUAUGAAAUACAAACACCACAAGAGUGUUUGUUGUGUAACACAUUAGAAGUAGAAUCUCUCACACAUCUAUUUUUUUUUUAUGUAAGUAUGCAACAAAGUUGUGGAGGAUGUUGCUAGACUGACUGGGAAUGCAAUGAAAAAUUCUAAUUUAGGAAGUUGAGAUACAAUGGUUGAUGUACAUGGUGAAACAAAGGAAAUUAGAAUCACAGGUGCUAGGCUGGUUGUUCAAUGUUUGAAUUUACCAUGUCUGGAUUGAGCGGACUACUAAAAGAUUUCAACAACACCAACAUGAUACAAGCAUAGAGCCAGAGAAAUCAUCCUCCAACUUCACACAAAAGGACAACACCAAAUUAAAUGGGGGAAACUGUUUCAAAGAUUAGACAAUUUUCCUAGCUAGAAGUGUAGAGUUAUAUAGUAGAAAACUAAUAAAAUAGCUAGCUUGAUGAGAUUUGUAAAGAAGUGAGAAAUUAACUAAAGUCUAAAUAGCUAAUUGGCGUACAAAUUCUUAUUGGUUGAAUAAAAGCUAAGCUUUCGACCAAAAAAAUAAAAAAAAAAUAUUAAGAUUAUUUCAUUUGUCUAUAUAUAAGUAUUUAAAUCUAGAUUAAGUGUUUCUUUUUGAAUCACAUCAAAUUGUACGUUUUCAUAAUAUUCAUUUUUUAAAAAAUAAUAAUUUACUAUACUCCAUAAUUAUAUUUUGUAGUGAUAUUUUUAAACAAUUAUAAAUUAUAGCUACAUCUUACAUCUUAGUAUAUAUAUAUAUUCACGUUUCUAAAUUGAAGGCACAAUUCUUAUACGAGUUCUUAUACGGGUGCGUAUAUUGUAUAUAUGAAAUCAAUAUACAUAUAUAAACAUUAUAUGCGGACCCAUAUACAAUAUAUCAAUUUAUAUAUAUUGAUACUCUAUGUACGUACAUACAAUAUAGUAUAUGUUAUAUUUUAAAGGAAAAUUAUGCUAUGUUUUGAAAAUAAACUUGUUAUUAUUGAAAAUUUUCCUUUUAAAUUUUAUAGGUCGAAUUUUGGGUAUAUUAAUAUUUUGGGGUUAUGAUACUCUAUUACUUUAAAAUAAUAUAUAUUAAGUAAAUUAACUAUAAUUUUCGGUGAAGUUGAAAUAACAACAACGAUAUUGUAUUAAAUUAAGUGAAAGUCAAAUAAUUUUAUAGCUAGAUUAACAAUUUUACUACGAUUAUAUUAAAUUUUAAUGGCCUUUAUGAAAUUAACCAAAAAAUAUUUCUUCGCACAAAUUAUUUUUUUCUUCUUUAGUGAUAUGUCUAUAAUUGUCUUGUUUCUAAUUGUUAUUAUUUCAUAUAAUUUUUUCCUCAUUUUCCCCUCCCCCCUUCAUCUCCCGUCUCUUAAUCUAGGGUUUAUACCCUUUGGUCUUCUUAAUUAUAUCGAUGUCUUAGAGCUAUUAAACAAAAAAUUCUAGCUUACAUUCGAAUCUUACAUUUUCAUCACUAGUAUUAAAUUUUAUAAAUUUGUGAAGUUUUUCGAUGUUCAUCAAGAAUGAAAUCGGCUAGAGUACAAAUCUCGCACGUCCUUGAUUCAAAUCAAGUCCCCAAAAUGGAUUGCAUUUAUGUGUUGUUUCUACAUCCUGCAAAUAUCAUUGAUCUUCAGAUUAUUCCGUAUCAAUUGACAGGUAUCAAAAAUUACUUUAUAAACUUUAGAUAGUUUGUCUUGUUCAAUUAAAAUAAUUUUGGAUUAUAAUUCAUAUAAAAGUAAAUUUUAUUUCAAAAAUUAUGUGAAAUCACUUAGAAAAAGGGUUUAGUGCGAUUAUUUCUUUUUAACAACGAAUUAUAUAGCUUAAGAUCUUUUAGGGGGAUAACAUAUACCUCAAAUGUACAUGUUGUUUGAAAAAAUCUACUUGAAAGAUCUAAUAAUGUAGAUAGUUCCUGAAUAUUGAAUUUACAUAAAAAUAUAACUAUAUUGGCACUAUAUUGUAAAUUUGAUAUAUCAUGAAAGAAAUUAAAUAUAAUAAAAUUAAUUGUCAUGAGAGAAAGAAUCUAACUAAAGACUUGUCACAACCAAAUGCAUCACUACUCAAGAUCAACCUAAUGGUGUUUUUAUCAAAAGACUUAUCAGACUGCAAUAUAAACAUUUGAGUUCUGAUUAAGUGUGCUUCAGAUAUGUAUAUCAUAAUUAACCUGAGAGGAAUUACUAAAAAAAAAUAAAAAAUUAAGGUUAUUAUAUUUGUCUGUAUAUAAGUAUUUGAUUCCAAAUUAAGUGUUUUCUUUUUUGAAUCACAAUAUCUUCAUAAUUUUUGUUUUAAUUUUUUCCUUUAAGUAUUUGAUAGUGAAUUAAUUAUAAAUAUAGUGUUUUAACUAAGAAUUUGGUGAUCCUAAUAUUGUUUUUGUGCUUAAAAUCAUACUUGGAUUGUUAAACUAAUGUUUAUGUAAGUUUCUUUCAAUCUUAUAAUAUGAUUUAACAAAUUAAUUUAAUUUUUUUACAUAGUUUUAAUCAUUUCUCAUUUCAUAGUAAUAGAAUAAUAACUUACUAGCAAGACGAAUCUAGAAUUUGUAGAUUUUGGGUGUAUCAAUAUUACCUUAGCUCAAAUAUGAGCUCUAAGAUAAACUUAAAAUAAAAAUAGUGAAUUACCUUAACUCAAAUAUGAGCUCUAAGACAAAUUUAAAAUAAAAAUAGUGAAAUAAACAAUCUAGCUAGAUUCGAACUCAAGUCUCGCAUGUGGAUCCUCUAACAAUCUAGCUUGUACCAACAACACAAUGACACUCUUAUAUUUUUCAUGCGUGCACUGUUAAUUAUAUCUUAAUUUAUGUCAGUUUCUCAAAAUAAAUAUAUGCAUAUAAAAAGCUUAGAUCUAAUCUAAGACUGAAAAUUAACAUGAUAUUAAUUUAUUCUUCAAAUAUCAUGUUAGAUAUUAAUUAUUCUUAAAAUAUCAGUUUAGAUAUUAAUUAUUUUUAAAAUAUCAUGUUAAGAUAUUAAUUAUUUUUAAAAAAUUCAUUAAAUGUGAAGAUGAUUGUCUUUAACUGAGUGUUUAACAUUUUAUACUAGAAUAUGGAUAAGCAAAAUAAAGUAGAUAGUGGAGAUGCAAUAAUAGCCAUUCCCAUAUCGUGUAUUGCAGUUGAAGCUGAUGUUUUAGAGGUAAGCUUUUGAAGAUUUCCUCUUCAUUUGUCUUUUUAUGAUUAUAAGACAUUCAGAUUUAGACGUCUUAUAAUCAUAAAAAGACAAAUGAAGAGGAAAUUUUUAAAAGCUUACCUCUAAAACAUCUGCUUCAAGUGCAAUACACAAUAUGGGAACUGUCUUUAUUGCAUCUCCACCAUCUAUUUUGUUUUGCUUAUCCAUAUUCUAGUACUCCCUCCGUCCCCUUUUUAGUUGUCCACUUUUAGAAAUGGCACACAGAUUAAGGCAACAAUGAUUAGCACAGUGAAGUUACAAUUUUAUCCUUAUGACAACUUUUCACUUCAAAAUUACAACCACUUAUUUGAAUUCAAGUGAAAUAAAUUGGAGGGAAACAACAUACACUUUUACAAUUUUCAAGAAGUGUAAAUAAGGGUAUAAUAGGAAAAAAUUUUGUUGUCUUUUCUUGAUUUGUCAAAAUGGACAACUAAAUAGGGACAACUAAAAAAGGAAAUAUGGACAAGUAAAUAGGGACGGAGGGAGUAGAAAAUGUUAAAUACUUAGAGAAGCAUCUUCACAUUUAAAGAAAUUUUACAAAAUAUUUUAAAAAUAAUUAAUAUGUAAACUGAGACUGAAAAUACCAUAUGAUAUUCUAAAAUUUGACACAAUUUCCAAUCGGGUACCGACAUUAGCCGGUCAAUUCCCGGUCAACACUGAAACUGCAGAGAAAAAAAGUUUUUAAUUUUUCCUACUUAAACUACACAAAAAGCGGAAAAAGCCCUCUUUGUUUUCAAAAUUUUUAAAGUACUCUCUAGGAUAAGACCUAGUUCUCUCUCUGCCAUUUUUUCAGACUGAAUCACUCAAAAAUCUCUAUACAUAUACUCAGGUGAAGUUAAAUUUUGCAUUUUUAUAGUUAUUUUUUGUGUAAUUUAUUUGAAUGCAGUCUUUUUAAGUUGAUUAAUUUGGUCAAGUUAUGUUUUUUAUGUUGAAAUGUUGCAGUUCUUUUAUGAUUUUUGAGUUGUUUGGAUUAAUGGGUUUGUUUAGUAUGAAUAUGGUGUAAUGCUUGUUAUUUUGUUGCAUGAUUGAGGAAUUGGAAUGUGUUUUGAUGGACCAUGUUGGGAUUUUUUUUGUGGGAUUUUAGUUCUCUUUGAUGUAGCGAUUUAGGAAUUAGGGUUUUUUGAUUGGUUUAUUGAGGAGGUAGAAAUGGUUGAUGAUGUAGAAAUGUAUGUCUUUUCUUGAUAUGUUUUUUUUUUUUUACUUUCUUGGCUAUUGACAGUGUUAAAUGUUGCAGUUCUUUUAUGGUUUUUGAGUUGUUUGGAUUAAGGGGUUUAUUUAGUAUGGAUAUGGUGGAAUGCUUGUUAUGUUGUUUCCUGAUUGAGGAAUUGGAUGUUUGAUGGAUCAUGUUGGGAUUUUUUUUGUGGGAUUUUAGUUCUCUUUGAUGUAGGGAUUUAGGAAUUAGGGUUUUUUGGUUUGUUGCAUGAUUGAGGAAUUGGAAUGUGUUUUGAUGGACCAUGUUGGGAUUUUUCUUUGUGGGAUUUUGUUUUUUUUUGAUGUAGAGGUUUAUGAAUUAGGGUUUUUUGAUUGGUUUAUUGAGGAGGUAGAAAUGGUUGAUGAUGUAAAAAUGUAUGUCUUUUCUUGACAUGUUUUUUUACUUUCUUUGCUAUUUGACAGUGUUUUGGUGAAAUGUUGCAGUUCUUUUAUGAUUUUUGAGUUGUUUGGAUUAAUGGGUUUGUUUAGUAUGAAUAUGGUGUAAUGCUUGUUAUUUUGUUGCAUGAUUGAGGAAUUGGAAUGUGUUUUGAUGGACCAUGUUGGGAUUUUUCUUUGUGGGAUUUUGUUUUUUUUUGAUGUAGAGGUUUAUGAAUUAGGGUUUUUUGAUUGGUUUAUUGAGGAGGUAGAAAUGGUUGAUGAUGUAGAAAUGUAUGUCUUUUCUUGACAUGUUUUUUUUUUUUUACUUUCUUGGCUAUUGACAGUGUUAAAUGUUGCAGUUCUUUUAUGGUUUUUGAGUUGUUUGGAUUAAGAGGUUUAUUUAGUAUGGAUAUGGUGGAAUGCUUGUUAUGUUGUUUCCUGAUUGAGGAAUUGGAUGUUUGAUGGAUCAUGUUGGGAUUUUUUUUGCGUGAUUUUAGUUUCCUUUUGAUGUAGGGAUUUAUGAAUUAGGGUUUUUUGAUUGGUUUAUUGAGGAGGUAGAAAUGGUUGAUGAUGUAAAAAUGUAUGUCUUUUCUUGACAUGUUUUUUUCCUUUCUUUGCUAUUGACAGUGUUUUGGUGAAAUGUUGCAGUUCUUUUAUGGUUUUUGAGUUGUUUGGAUUAAUGGGUUUGUUUAGUAUGGAUAUGGUAUAAUGCUUGUUAUUUUGUUGCAUGAUUGAGGAAUUGGAAUGUGUUCUGAUGGACCAUGUUGGGAUUUUUUUUUGCGUGAUUUUAGUUUCCUUUUUGAUGUAGGGAUUUAUGAAUUAGGGUUUUUUGAUUUGUUUAUUGAGGAGGCAGAAAUGGUUGAUGAUGUAAAAAUGCACGUCUUUUCUUGACAUGGUUUUUAGUUUCUUUGCUAUUUACAAUGUUUCGUUGAUAAUCUGUUUUGAAAUUUUACCUUUUUGGAUAGAGGUUAAUUUAGUGUUGGAGUAGUGAAAUGGAUUAUGUUUUGUUGAUUGAUAGAGAAAUUUGAAGCAUCUUAUGGUGCAAAAUGGGUUUUUUGUAGUGGAAACUUACUUUUUUUGCUAUAAAGAUUUUGGAAUUAGGGUUUUAGUUGAUUGGCCAAGGAGGCAGAAAUGGUUGGUGAAGACAAAGGAAAGAGCGCUGGUGCUAAUGUUGCACCAGGUUUGUUGGCUGAAAAUGGUCAAACAGUAAAGAAAUUGAAGGGCCACCUAGUUGAAGACAAGGAUGGUGAUAUGAACCUUGAUGGUUCAUCUGAUGUUGUUUGUCGGACCUACAAGAGGCGGAAGCGUACAAAAGUGGUAGAAGAUGGCUUUGUGGUGGGGCACUCUGCUGGUCAGAGCACUAACAAG
rnacentral:lncRNA from 1 species